rnacentral:misc_RNA from 1 species
UACGUAGGGGGCGAGCGUUGUCCGGAUUUAUUGGGCGUAAAUAGCUCGUAGGCGGCUUGCUAAGUCGGGUGUGAAAUCUCCAGGCUCAACCUGGAGCGGCCACUCGAUACUGGUAUGGCUUGAGUCCGGUAGGGGACCACGGAAUUCCUGGUGUAGCGGUGAAAUGCGCAGAUAUCAGGAGGAACACCGGUGGCGAAGGCGGUGGUCUGGGCCGGUACUGACGCUGAGGAGCGAAAGCGUGGGGAGCAAACAGG